AACCUGUGGCAACAACCGGGCUCAGCAGGGAGGGGCUGCGGCCCCUCUGGUGGGAGGAGAGAGAGAAGGGAGGAGGCUCUGUCCUGGGGGGCAGGUAAGGCACUGGGGAGGGUGCGAGGAGGAGGAGCCGCAGCCCAGCAGCCGUCAGUGGGUGCCCUGUCCCUGCCUGCCACCUGGACAGAGUGCUGUGGGGCCCCCGCCUGGCCCCCAACCACCCAGGGAUCUUGGUCAACGAACUUCACCUACAUGAAUCUUCGUUUCCUCAUGUGAAAAAUGGAGAGAGGCAGCGGAGGAUCAUCAGGAUUAAUAAACGGAAGACGAAGUAAAGGUAAAAGAGAACACCUCCCAUAAAAGCCAUUCACUCACUGCCCUGGCACACGGCAGGUGGCUGCUGAGUGUCCUCAGGUGGACGGCCUGUCAGCAGGGUCUGUGUGCACAUCGGGAAGGGGAGCUCACGGGCACUGAGCCCAUGAUGUGCCGGCACAACUCCGGACCUUCACUUGGGUUCUCUCUCAUUCUGUCCUCAUAAGUACUGCAGGCAGCAAGUGGCAUCAUCCCCAUUUUACAGAUGAGGAAACUGAGGUUCAGAAACGUAGAGGCUCAUGGCACCCUGCACCAUGCCCACCUCUGUGCCCAGAGCUGCAGCAUCAAGUCACCCAUGGGUGGAAAAUCACAGAGGUGGGGCCUGCCUGGUCCAGAGCCCAGAGAUGGAAACGGUAGGGAGAGAGGGCGCCUGACACUUCCUAGCCUCCAGCAAGCCUGGAGAGGGGCGCAAGGCGUCCUUCUGCAUGUGGUAAAAUGCUUGGACUGAGUCUUGGAUGAUUGUGCCUAGCUCUAUCCUGCGACCAGCAAGCACUUGCUUUUCUAGAGGGAAGGGAAAGAAAGAGAAGGAACAAAGACCUGAGCUCCUCAAAGCCACCAGCUAGCUCAGCCUUCACGGAUUCAGCUCGGUCCUCUUGGCAAACUCUGAGAUGCUCAAGGAGGUCUUUGGAAUACUUCCAACUCUGAACGCUCCCCUCCAGGGAGUCCCCACUGUUCAAAGCCCCCGAGGAAUCUGAGUCACCUGCCCGUAGGCCUGGCUCUUCUGGGGGAGUCUAGAUCUGGUGGCCAGUGGCUACGGAUGAGCAGUGCCCCGUGCCCAGGCCAGGUACCCCUGCUGUCAGCUCCUAUGGCCCCUUUCUGAGCUCUGCUCCAUCCCUGCCUAGCCUGACAGCAGUUAGCAUGGUGGCCUCCCGAAAACACCAGGGAGCUGGAUGGAAGUCACAGGUCCCAGGACUACGAGGCCACUGCGGGGCCGGGAGUGGUGGCUGGGCACAGAGGCCCACUAUCCAAUGUGACAGAGAAGAACAGGCCCAGUUGCAGCCUCAGAAGAUGACUCCUUAGACACAGCUACGCUGCCAGCGACAGGGCCUGCCCAGCCAGCCCAGGCGGUCUGAAUCAGAACUCAAGACCCUCGAGAGCUUCCACGGCCCACGUGGGGCAGGGCACUGCUUAAGGGGGACUCUGGCAGGUCCAGGGAGCCACAGACAUGAAGCAAAACCCACGGCCGGGAGUUUUGCAGAUAUCUGGCCCUUCAGCUCCACCAGGAGGCAAAUUAAGGGAACACGCGUGGAAGGAGCUGAACCAGCCACAUUCGAACACUGUCUCUGAGCGAGCCCAGUGCAGAUAGCUGGGGCUAUGGCGUGACUGGGAAAAGGAAAGGGUUUUCCCAGAGCUGUCCUCAAGGAGCUGGAGUCGCUUGGUGGAGUUUCAGCCUCUGGGUGCCCUGGCUUGCCCUUGGCGAGGUGGUCCUGGAAGUGAAGUGACCAGGACUGGGAAAUGGCAAAGAUCGAAGAGGGGAGGCAGAGACUGGAGAAGCUAAACCAAGCAACAGCCUGAGACUAAGUGCCAAGUGUGUAAAUACAUUCUGGCCAAA
rnacentral:lncRNA from 1 species